rfam:Triticum aestivum genome assembly, contig: Triticum_aestivum_CS42_TGACv1_scaffold_321592_4BL
AUAGUACUCCCCCCAUUCCAAAAUUCUUGUCUUAGAUUUGUCUAGAUAUAGAUGUAUCUAACACUAAAACAUAACUAGAUACAUCUAUUUUUAGACAAAACUAAGACAAGAAUUUUGGGAAGAAGGAAGUACAUU